rnacentral:rRNA from 1 species
UACGGGAGGCAGCAGUGGGGAAUAUUGCACAAUGGGCGAAAGCCUGAUGCAGCUAUGCCGCGUGUAUGAAGAAGGCCUUAGGGUUGUAAAGUACUUUCAUCGGGGAGGAAAAAACAAAACUAAUAAUUUUAUUUCUUGACGUUACCCGAAAAAGAAGCACCGGCUAACUCCGUGCCAGCAGCCGCGGUAAUACGGAGGGUGCUAGCGUUAAUCAGAAUUACUGGGCGUAAAGAGCACGUAGGUGGUUUUUUAAAGUCAGAUGUGAAAUCCCUGGGCUUUAACCUGGAACUGCAUUUUGAAACUGAAAUACUAGAGUAUCGUAGAGGGAGGUAGAAUUCUAGGUGUAGCGGUGAAAUGCGUAGAUAUCUGGAGGAAUACCUGUGGCGAAAGCGGCCUCCUAAACGAAUACUGACACUGAGGUGCGAAAGCGUGGGGAGCGAAACAGGGAUUAGAUACC